AGCGAACGUUUGCGGCGGGCCUAACACAUGCAAGUCGAACGGGCUAGCAGUAGUCAGUGGCGCACGGGUGCGUAACACGUGGGUAAUCAACCCUUCAGCUCGGGAUAACGCCUUGAAAGGGGCGCUAAUACCGGAUGCGACGCGAGGAGCCUCGGCGCUUCGCGGGAAAGAUUCGCAAGGAUCACUGAAGGACGAGCCUGCGGCCCAUCAGCUAGUUGGUGAGGUAAGAGCUCACCAAGGCGAAGACGGGUAGCUGGUCUGAGAGGAUGAUUAGCCACACUGGAACUGAGACACGGUCCAGACUCCUACGGGAGGCAGCAGUGGGGAAUAUUGCGCAAUGGGCGAAAGCCUGACGCAGCCACGCCGCGUGAGCGAUGAAGGCCU
rnacentral:rRNA from 1 species